CUACCCUUGACAUGCCAGGAAUCCUGCAGAGAUGUGGGAGUGCUCGAAAGAGAACCUGGACACAGGUGCUGCAUGGCUGUCGUCAGCUCGUGUCGUGAGAUGUUGGGUUAAGUCCCGCAACGAGCGCAACCCUUGUCAUUAGUUGCCAUCAUUUAGUUGGGCACUCUAAUGAGACUGCCGGUGACAAACCGGAGGAAGGUGGGGAUGACGUCAAGUCCUCAUGGCCCUUAUGGGUAGGGCUUCACACGUCAUACAAUGGUCGGUACAAAGGGUUGCCAAGCCGCGAGGUGGAGCCAAUCCCAGAAAGCCGAUCGUAGUCCGGAUCGGAGUCUGCAACUCGACUCCGUGAAGUCGGAAUCGCUAGUAAUCGUGGAUCAGCAUGCCACGGUGAAUACGUUCC
rnacentral:rRNA from 1 species